CGCCCCUGCCGCGUGAUGCCUGUGUCGUCACCGCCCCCAGCCCCCGCCCUCACUGGACGUUCUGACGUUCCCCUCACCCACACUCGCUGCUGCGCCUCCUUCCUCCCCCCCGAAACGCCGCGCCCAUCUGUCUUCUCACCCCCGCGUCCAUCGUCAUCCCCUUAGGGACCGCCACGGCCGUCCCCCCCAAACCCGACAUCUCCUCUCGCGAUGGCUCUCCCAGCCUCCUCUCCUGCUCCCGCACCAUCUCCGAUCCAGAAUCCUGCUCCAGCGCCCAAUGCCCGGGUACCCGCCCCAAAGAUCCCUAAAUCAUCAUCGACACCGAGCUCCAUCAGCCAGAAGCUGACCGAGGCCCCAACCUCCUCCUCCACCCAGCGUCGCAUCCAGUGUGGCCCCCGCCUCUGAUUACCGAAUCCGAGGGCUUGAGCACAGCGCGGGAGGAGGAGGGCAAGCUGAGGUGGCAACAAAUUCUCCCACGUCGUCGCCCGUGCCCGCUGAAUCCCACUGUCGCCGUCUCUGCCUCCUCUCCAUAUCCGCGCCCGCAGAGAGGAAUUACUUGAGCAGGGAGAUGAGGAGGCCCAUGGCUCGCUGGAGCAACCCAUGGGCAAGAAGGCACACGCCGAUUAGAUGGAUGGGGUUCUAGGGAGGUGCUUCCUCAGGAUCUAUCCAAAAUCCUACUAGAUGGAGAAGAUCACGGCAACAAGCAUCGGAUCGAUGACCCUGAAGACGCUGGUUUGACUUGCUCCAACAGUCCUACUAGAUGGAGAAGAUAACGACAGCAACCAUCGGAUCGGUGACCCUGAAGUUGUAAAGGGCUCAGUGAGUGUCGCGUCCCUGAAGAGCCCUUUCAGCCAUGCAAGGAGACAUUUCCUCGUUUGAGGACGAGGAAAUCUAAAUCCAGGCUAACGACGAGGGGUCAUCUUGCUCUGGUCUCCCAACCGGGGUCCGGGCGAUGCUAGAGAAGAGCAUCUGACUCUUUCUUCUCUGUUGGAUUUAGAAAUGAAAUUCGUUCUUGGGAAACUGUUGAAGUGAGUGAUCACUGACGAAUGGGUAUCAUUAUGGAAUUUUGUGUUUACA